GAUAAUAACUCAGUUGGUAGAGCAUGAGGCAUCUCAGGGUUGUGGGUUCGAACCCCACGUUGAGCA